rnacentral:rRNA from 1 species
CCUACGGGUGGCAGCAGUGAGGAAUAUUGGGCAAUGGACGAGAGUCUGAACCAGCCAAGUAGCGUGAAGGAUGACUGCCCUAUGGGUUGUAAACUUCUUUUAUAAAGGAAUAAAACGAGGCACGUGUGCCUUUUUGCAUGUACUUUAUGAAUAAGGAUCGGCUAACUCCGUGCCAGCAGCCGCGGUAAUACGGAGGAUCCGAGCGUUAUCCGGAUUUAUUGGGUUUAAAGGGUGCGUAGGCGGCCUUUUAAGUCAGCGGUGAAAGUCUGUGGCUCAACCAUAGAAUUGCCGUUGAUACUGGCAGUCUUGAGUACAGUUGAGGUAGGCGGAAUUCGUGGUGUAGCGGUGAAAUGCUUAGAUAUCACGAAGAACCCCGAUUGCGAAGGCAGCUUACUAAACUGUGACUGACAUUGAUGCUCGAAAGUGUGGGUAUCAAACAGGAUUAGAUACCCCUGUAGUC